GUCAAGGGAGGAGGACUGACUCCUGAGCUGGAAGGUUAAAAAAAACUACAGGAGAUGAUUAAUCAAGACAAUGGAAGAUAUAGUGAGUGGUAGCAUGACUGAACAGCUUUGUGGAGUCCUCUGUUGAAGGGUAAGCCCUCCCCACACUUCUGUGAAAACGAACAAGGAUUUUAGAGGGAUAGUUGUUCUACCUGGUAGCCCCUUCAAGCUACAGAAUGGGAAAUUGGCUUAUCUGCCAAAGACACUGAUGGAACGCUCAACAGUUCUCUCCUGCAAGAACGUAACACCAGGAAGCGAUGAAAGGGGAUUGUAAAGAGAAUAUGGACUGAUAUGAUUCUUUAUACGCAUUUGUCUGGGAUUUUAUUUGGCUCCAUUGCUGAUGUUUCCAGACUCAACAACUAUCUGGCUUGAGCAGACACUGUCAGAACCGAUCAUAACUUUUUGGUUUGUGUAUAUGUGUGUAUAUGUAAAUUUCCAGUAAAAUGAUUUAUAUUGUUGUAAAGUUGGGCCAUUUAAUGUUGCCUUUGUUUACAAUUUUUCUAACCAAAGUUAUA